UGUAUUCCUUAUCUAUCUAAUACGUUGAUUUAGCUGGAACCUGUCCCAUUGCACUCUUUGUUCUUCAUAUUUCAGGUUGUCUCUUGGUUGGCUGCGCUUAUUCACCCCGGUCACAUAGCUCACUAUGCUCCCGGGAUUCACGCGCUUGCCGCCGCGAUACAACCCGAACUAUUUUGAACAACCAAAAGCACAAUAAGACAGGUUCUGCGUUUAGUUGCCGCGCUCUAAAAAUUG
rnacentral:sRNA from 1 species